GGUGACAGUGGUUUGUCACUUUGUAUGCAGUCUGUCAGCUGUGAAAAAGUUUCUGCUUGCUCACAGAAUGCGAAUUUUUAAGGCAGCAGUCACUUUUUCACAUUAAUAUUUUGUACCAUGUAUUUGCCUUGGAAACUUUGCAUAGCAGCAGCUGUUUAGAGCACAUUCUACAUGUUUAGAAACACAGAAGUUCACUUCUAGACAGUCUGGAUGGCUGCGUCCCGGUUCAUGGAGAGGGUUUCCAGUGACGAUGAAAACGAAGACCUGAUUGAGCUGGAAGCUAUUAGGAGACCAUGCAGAGGAGUGAAAUUUGAUCUGACACAUUCAAAUCAAGAAGACUUUGAAGCACAGCGUUACCAUGAGCCUGGACACACAAAUGCCCUACAAAGGAAUAGCUGGUCAUCUUCAACCCAGAGGGUCCUGUCCUCCAUGCCUAGCCGCUCUAUCAGAUUUAAUCAGUCGACUGCACUGUCCCGUUCCACUCAGACACAAAGAAGACGACCUCUUAGCACUGUGUCCACCACUCGCUGCACUACAGAGCAGGAUGUCUUCAGAGGGCAGGACGACUUGCCAGUGACCCAAAAGGAGGAGAUGCUAAACAAACUACAAGAUUUGUCUGCUGCUGAAUGUGUGCAUGUGUUGCGUGAAAUGCCUCUUAGUGUCUCUGAGAAGCGCCAGAUCAGAGCUCUGGUCUUCUGCGAGACUGUACAGCCUCUCUCUGUUAACAGAGCCAUGUGCUGCCAUCAGUUUAAAAAUGGGUUCUUAAAGGUUUUGUGUGGUUACGGUGAAGUCUCCCAGCAGAAAUCCAUACAGCUCUGGCAGGGAGUGCUUAAAAACAUCAGCGCUCACUUCGGCACCGGGGUUCUGUCCUAUUUCAUCUUCCUCAGAAGACUGUUACAUUACAACAUUCUCCUCUUCCUCAUCACCGGCCUUUUCCUGGUUCUACCACAAAUCUCAAAUCCUCCACUCAAAUCCUCAAAAAACAAAAAGGAAGACUCAGAUGACUUCUGGAUGCUUACUGGCAUGGGCAUUCUCACAGACUCUGUGAUGUUUUAUGGCCACUAUACCAAUGAAAGCUGCAAAGCUGAAAUGAAAACUUUUCCAGAAAAUUACAACAUACCACUGGCGUAUAUUUUUACUAUCGGAGUAGGCAUGUUUAUCACAUGUGUGAUGCUUGUUUACAGUAUGUCUAAAUCAGACGGAAAAAGUUUCCGUGUAUUCAAGACUAGCGGUAACCUAGCUUUAAAGGUUUUCUGCUCUUGGGAUUUUAAAGUCAGCAAGAAACACUCCGUUAAACUGCAGUCGGUGAACAUCUGCACUCAGCUGAAGGAGAUGCUGUCAGAGCUCAGCUGCGAGAAAGAGAAGAGGAACUUGAGUUCAACUUUGGGCUGGUUGAGUCUACACUUUCUUGUAUGGUCCAUUUGCCUGGCUUGCAUGGCUGCCUGCGUGCUGGCCGUUUGCUGUUUACACUCUUACCUUGAACCAGGCAGUUCCAAGUUGGCGAACUCCUUUCAGAAACCUGUCGGUUUGCUGACACUGCCUUUGGUUGUGUCUUGUGUCAGUCAUCUACUGCCUGGUUUCUUCGACAUGAUAUCCAGUGUAGAGCAUUACAACUCUCCGAGCACUCGGAUUUACGUGUCCAUUGCAAGGAACCUGUUGUUGAAGGGUUGCAUUUUUGGUGCAUUGUGUUACUACUGGCUCAAGAAAGUUUCUGUUGGGAAGGAUGGACAAACGACAUGGCAGUGCUGGGAGACGUUGGUUGGUCAAGAGCUUUAUCGUUUGGUUUUAAUCGAUCUACUAUUUGCGAUGACGUACAUCAUCUUAGCAGAGUUUCUGUGGGGGCUGUGUAUUAGAAACAUCACAUUAAGAAGAAAGAAACUAGAGUUUGACAUCGCACGAGAUGUUCUGGAGCUCAUCUAUGGUCAAACGCUUGUGUGGUUUGGUGUGCUGUUUUCACCCCUGUUGCCUGUAGUUCAAAUUGGGAAACUGCUUGUACUGUUCUACCUGAAAAAGACGAGUUUGAUGAUGAACUUCCAACCACCCAGGAAACACUGGAGGGCCACUCAGAUGAGCACAUUCUUCAUCAAAAUCCUGUUUUUCCCCUCCUUCACUGGGGCCCUUGCAUGUGUCAUUUACGCAAUGUUGAGGGUCAAGCCCUCAUCAGAUUGUGGGCCAUUCAGUAACGUCACCAACAUGCUUCUCUUAGGCAAGGAGUGGAUCAUGGGCCUGGGGAAGUCGAACCCCAAUAUGUUCUGGCUCAGCUGGGCUUAUGAUCACCUGGUGGACAACCCUAUGUUCCUCUUCAUCACUGCAGGCCUGUUCCUCUCCAUAAUAUACGUCCAGAUGCAAGUUUUGGAUGGCCAAAAGAUGGUCGUUGCCAGGUUACAAGAACAAAUAGAUAAUGAAGGUGAGGAUAAGAAGUUCCUUAUAGCUAAACUCCAGGCCCUCAAUGAGACGAGUGCUCAGCAGUAGGGAAGGCUGAAUUCUACAGAACAGAGAAUUCGGACAACAGCUUUUUUUUUUUUUUUUAAGUAGUGUCCCUGUCAUUUAGUCAUGUAAAAAUAUUUUAAAAUGUAAAUAAAAGGGUUCAUUUUUGCUAUAGUUUUGAAUGGUUGAGGGAUCAUAAUUUUAAAUAUUGUGAUCAUAAUUUUAAAUAUUUAGAGAACUGGCUAUCAAUAUGCAGUCAGUUUCUUGCAACAUUUUAAUGAUGUGAUUCAGUUCAUCGCUGUCUUUUGGAAGUUUAAAAUCAAUAAAUAGAACACAUCUGUAAAUGACAGAUUUUUGGAAUUUUUAAAUUAUUAUUCUUAUUUAUCACACAACUCUGAAAUGCUUGUGUCUGACUGGUCAAAUACAGCAUUCCAUGAUCAAUUUUUUUUUGGUGUAUUUAAUUUGGACAAAGACUGCUAAGGUCACUGGACAUUUUAAUGGUAUGUAGGUCUAUGCACUGGGUUAAGAUUUUAUCUGAACCUGUCAGACUGAAAUCUGAAGAAUUAUGGUCACAUGCUGCUGACAAGAGCUCGGAAUCCUGUGAUGUACUGCAUUUUGUGGGAGGAGUUUCUUUUAUCUGUCUGGCAUCCACCUUUAUAAAGGUGCUGUAAGGACCUACUUUGGCUCAUUUGGCUCCCAAUGUCACACCACAUCAACUACAACAGUCAUUCAGUCACCCGAGAAAGAGAUUCAAAAAUGGAAUCCUCACGUUUAUACAUCCAUGUCCCAGAACAAUACAAAGGAUUUUAUACAUCUGGAGAAUGGGACCAUGGGAUUUUUGUUACAGAUUUGAAUCCAUGUUUAGCACGAAGUGACGUUCACAACUACUUUGAAAAAUUUGGGACAAUUACAGAAUGUAUCGUCCAAACCGACAAGUCAUCAGAAUGGCCAAAGGGUGUGGGCUUUGUGAGAUAUUCAUCUUUAGAGGAGGCUAAAGCAGCACAAGAAGCUGGGCCACACUGUUUUGGAGGUUUUCAAUUAAGGAUCACCCAAGUUGUUACACCAAAACUGCCUGACCAGACCAGAUGUGACCAGAGCCAGUUAAAUACUUCUCCAUGCCAAUCCUCCGUUCAAACAGACCUGUGUGUGAGCUAGAAGUGGAAUACAGGAGCUCUGACAGUUGCUGGCUGGAGUGAUUUACGCUAAAUAUAUUUUUUUGUUACAUUUUGUACCUAACAUUAAAAACCCUGCUUGAUUCAAUGUUUGUAAAUGAUUACUUUUAAAUGUACCUGAAAUGCUGAAUAAAUGUAUUCUAAGACCAGCUUGACUCUUAUUG